rnacentral:rRNA from 1 species
CUACGGGGGGCUGCAGUGAGGAAUAUUGCACAAUGGGGGGAACCCUGAUGCAGCAACGCCGCGUGGAGGAUGACGCAUUUCGGUGUGUAAACUCCUUUUAUAUGUCAAGAAAAUGACGGUAGCAUAUGAAUAAGCACCGGCUAACUCCGUGCCAGCAGCCGCGGUAAUAAGGAGGGUGCAAGCGUUACUCGGAAUCACUGGGCGUAAAGGACGCGUAGGCGGGUUGGAAAGUCAGGUGUGAAAUCCUACAGCUUAACUGUAGAACUGCACUUGUAACUUCUAAUCUAGAGUAUGGGAGGGGGAGAUGGAAUUAGUGGGGUAGGGGUAAAAUCCGUAGAUAUCACUAGGAAUACCUAAAGCGAAGGCGAUCUCCUGGAACAUUACUGACGCUAAGGCGUGAAAGCGUGGGGAGCAAACAGGAUUAGAUACCCGCGUAGUC